GCGCUGGUGUAGCUCAGUGGUUACUUCGAAAACUUUCUCUAUCAGAAAUGUUCUGUACGCUCUGCAAAGGGGUUCGAACCACGGGCGCUGUCCAGUGUUUUG
ensembl:vault_RNA Vault Vault RNA